rnacentral:lncRNA from 10 species
GUUCUAUGCAGCAUCUUUAUGUCAUCCUGACAGUAGCACAAUGACGUAUGUAAUAGUGGUCACAUUGGCUGAUGUGAAAACUGAGGCUUAGAGGCAUCAGCUGGCAGUAUUAAGAGGCAGACUUGGAGGUGCCUGACUCUGAAGAACACACUGCAAUCAAAAUUCAGUGCCCAAAAUUAUGAUGUCACAGAAUAUUCCCUGUUAGCACUAUACGUUCCACCUGUAUGUUUGGAAGAGAAAGAACUAUGCUCACUCCUUCUGAGCUGUCCCUAUUUAUUUAUUUAUUUUUGGUCUGAUGGCUAAAUAAAGAUUUUUUGUAUUCAAGAGAAAUAAUUUAAUGAGAUAAAAUAUUAUUUCCUAAGAAAAAUAUAUCAGCUGAAACCUGGGAAACAUCUAGAUAAUUUAAUUGAAAAUGAUUGACAUUCUCAAACAAAAAAGAAAAGAAAAUCAGAUACACCGCUUUCUUCUCUCCCUAUCUGCGGAGCCUGCCUCCUCCAACCUGCAUAGCUGCAUCCCAGUGCAUGUGCACCUGCCUGCUUGGACACUUCAAUGACUAACUUCUCUGCAAAUACAUCAAUAGUUUCAUUGCCUUCAGGCUUCUUCUAUGUCUUUUAACUCUUGAACCUUCUGGUGCAUUUUAGCUUACCAAACAGCACAUGCUGCUUUGUACUUGUGUUGUUUUAUGUAUUCAUUUAUUGCACAAAUUUUCCUUGAGUGCCUUGUUCAUGGAAGGCGCUAUUCCAGGAAUUUUAUGUGUAGUUUAAGUUACCUCCAUCUAAACUAUAAGAUUUUCAUAUAAUUCAUCUUUGUAGUUCUACCACAAGCAUAUUAGUAGAUUCUAAAUAAACGUUAACUCCAUAUUUGUGUGCAUGUAGAAAUAUGUCAUGUUUAUGUAUAUAUUAAUGCAUCUAUGUUUCUAUAUCUAACAAUGAUAAAAAAGUGCUAAUAAAAUGAUGAUUAACGUUAUGUUGAAUUAUAUAAUUGUAUAUAAAAGUUAUGUUAUGUUCUUCUUACAUUAAAGUUUUUCAUAUACUUUGCCUUUUGAGAACAUCUACCCAUUAUCAGACGAGACGGGGAGUGUUCAGGGUGGUAUGGCCGUAGACCAUCUACCCAUUAUCAGAGGAUGAAACUUGCAUUGUUCUCCAUGUUUUAUUUCCUUUGUCUCUGAAAGACCUGUUCACAGAAUAUGCCACUCUUUUCAAAAAUAGUACAUAUACAGUGCAAUGUCAAAGUAAAUGGAAGAAGAAAUUUACAUUUUGACUCUGACAACAACAAAAUGAAUAAAUAAAUAAAUGCUGUUUUUUUCUACAAAGCAAGAAAAACAAAGCCACUGUAAGUGUACUCUGAAUAAAAAUCUGCUUUCUGUUAUUGUAAAAAAAGAAAAUGGUGAAACUUGAGGUAAAAUAUUUUGCUCAUAUCUGAAAACACUAUUGCUGGAGGGGGAAGAGACGUGAGUGUGUUGACCUUUGCAAGGCAGAAAGGCUCACAAGGAAGUAAAAAUGUUGAGCCUUUGAAUCCUCACAAAAUUCUCAGUUGUACUUGAUCUACCUCCCCCAGCUUCCUCCACUGCACAGGCUAAAUAGGUAGGCAUCUUUUUACAAGAAAAACAUUUUUAUAUGCUAAGAGACUAAUGGAUUAAACACUUGUACAUGCACACACACAUGCAUGCACACACAAACACACACACACACAAAGCAAGUAACAAUUAAUAAAUCAAAAAAGUGGCUCAAAGAGAAUACUAGGAGUCCAGGUAUAUACCGUAAACAUAUAUGCCAUAUUUACUAGAUAUAGACAAUUAUUAAGUAGUUGGUGGCUUAUGGCCAUAAUUAGAUACUAAGCUGCAGUUGUGGUCUUGUCCCCAUGAGUCAUGGUCAACAAGUCAGUACCCCAGUUUUUUUCAAUGGAUCUAUAGACAAACCAGUAUCUACAGUUGUCUUUCUCCUACAUAGAGCUUCAAUAAUUGGAACAUUGACUGAAUCAUUUGCCAUAAAACAUCUCCUAUUACCUGCCCAGCAUUGAUUAUGGUUAGGAUGGUCUGAAUCUACAAGAAUAAUUAUUACACACCUCUCCAGAUUACCACAUACGGAUUACUUUUGAUUUGAGGACCAUGGCUUAGUUAUAAAGUCUCUAUAUUCAGAGUCAAAACAGUAUCUGCAAACUCCCAUAAGAGAACUUAACAUCCUUUUCUCCCCCAAGCAGGUCACAGGAAUGAG